GGUUAGAAAGUGAAGUAUCACGUUUAGUUUCGGCCUAAGUUUUGGUCAGUAAGACCUCUAAUUU
rnacentral:tRNA from 1 species